rnacentral:rRNA from 1 species
UUGUCAGUGGCGAAAUAAUGGGUUCGAGCAAGACCAACUACUGCGAAAGCAUUUUCCUCGAAUGUUUUCACUAAUCUGCGAACGACAGUUAGGGGAUGGGCAGACGAUCUCGACAGAAUGGUAGUCUUGACCAUAAACAGUGCACGACUAGAGAUCGGGGCGACCAUAUCUUUUUGACGCGCUAGGCACCAUAUGAGAAAUCAAAGUCUUUGGGAUCUGGGGGGAGUAUGGUGGCAAGGCUGAAACUUAAAGCACCUGACGUAAGGGCCCCACCAGGAGUGGAGCGUGCGGCUUAAUGUGACUCAACACGGGGAAACUCACCAAGUCCAGACACAAUAAGGAUAACAGAUUGAGAGCUCUUUCUUGAUUUUGUGGGUGGUGGUGCAUGGCCGUUUUCAGUUGGUGGAGUGAUUGUUUUGCAGAAUCCCUAUAACGAACGAGACCUUAACUUGCUAAAUAGCCAGGAAAGCAUGGUAGGGUCGCCGGCUUCCAGAGGGAGUAUCGGCUCAAGCCGAUGGAAGUUUGAGGCAAUAACAGGUCUGCGAUGGCUUUAGAUGUUUUGGGCGGCACGCCAAGGACCCCGACAGAGCCAACGAGUUUUAUCCUUGUCCGAAAGGUCUGGGUAAUCCGGUUAAAUUAGCUCGUGUUGGGGAUAGAACAUUCCAAUUUAUGCUCUUUAACGAGGUAUUAUCAAUAAGCGCAAGUCAUCUGCAUGCACCCAUUAGGUACCCUCCCCGUAUAGACACC